rnacentral:rRNA from 1 species
CCUACGGGAGGCAACAGUGGGGAAUAUUGGACAAUGGGCGAAAGCCUGAUCCAGCAACGCCGCGUGAGGGAUGACGGCCUUCGGGUUGUAAACCUCUUUCAGCGGGGACGAAGCGAAAGUGACGGUACCCGCAGAAGAAGCACCGGCCAACUACGUGCCAGCAGCCGCGGUAAUACGUAGGGUGCGAGCGUUGUCCGGAAUUAUUGGGCGUAAAGGGCUCGUAGGCGGUUUGUCACGUCGGGAGUGAAAACUCAGGGCUCAACCCUGAGCCUGCUUCCGAUACGGGCAGACUAGAGGUAUGCAGGGGAGAACGGAAUUCCUGGUGUAGCGGUGAAAUGCGCAGAUAUCAGGAGGAACACCGGUGGCGAAGGCGGUUCUCUGGGCAUUACCUGACGCUGAGGAGCGAAAGUGUGGGGAGCGAACAGGAUUAGAUACCCCGGUAGUC